rnacentral:rRNA from 1 species
AUUGAACGCUGGCGGCAUGCCUUACACAUGCAAGUCGAACGGCAGCACGGGAGCAAUCCUGGUGGCGAGUGGCGAACGGGUGAGUAAUGUAUCGGAACGUGCCCAGUCGUGGGGGAUAACGUAGCGAAAGCUACGCUAAUACCGCAUACGAUCUAUGGAUGAAAGCGGGGGACCGUAAGGCCUCGCGCGAUUGGAGCGGCCGAUAUCAGAUUAGGUGGUUGGUGGGGUAAAGGCCUACCAAGCCGACGAUCUGUAGCUGGUCUGAGAGGACGGCCAGCCACACUGGGACUGAGACACGGCCCAGACUCCUACGGGAGGCAGCAGUGGGGAAUUUUGGACAAUGGGCGCAAGCCUGAUCCAGCAAUGCCGCGUGCAGGAUGAAGGCCUUCGGGUUGUAAACUGCUUUUGUACGGAGCGAAAAGGCUCUCUCUAAUACAGGGGGCUCGUGACGGUACCGUAAGAAUAAGCACCGGCUAACUACGUGCCAGCCGCCGCAGUAA